GCUGGCGGCGUGCCUAACACAUGCAAGCCGUGCGAGAAAGUUCCUUCGGGAGCGAGUAAAGCGGCGCACGGGUGAGUAACACGUAGGUAACCUGCCCCCCAGUCUGGAACAACUAGAGGAAACUCUAGCUAAUGCCGGAUGAGACCACGAUCCCUUCGGGGGUUGCGGCCAAAGAUGGCCUCUACUUGUAAGCUAUCGCUGAGGGAUGGGCCUGCGGGCCAUUAGCUUGUUGGUGAGGUAACGGCUCACCAAGGCUGUGAUGGCUAGCUGGUCUGAGAGGAUGACCAGCCACACUGGGACUGAGACACGGCCCAGACUCCUACGGGAGGCAGCAGUGGGGAAUAUUGCGCGAUGGGCGAAAGCCUGACGCAGCGACGCCGCGUGGGUGAUGAAGGCCUUCGGGUCGUAAAGCCCUGUCGCAGGGGAAGAAUAAGCAUCGGUAUAAUACGCCGGUGCCCUGACGGUACCCUGCAAGAAAGCACCGGCUAACUCCGGUG
rnacentral:rRNA from 1 species